UUUUUUUUUUUUUUUUUUUAACCUAUUGUAAUUUUGUAUAUAUGAGUUUAUCUAGUAUUUACCUGAUAAUUUUUCAUUCAUUAUGCUUAAAUUUGGAGCUCUCUUGAUGAUGGGCCUUCCUUAUUUGGUCUAGUUGAUAAGAUGAGUUCCAGUGUUUUCUAAUGCAACCCUGACCAUAUCUCAAACAGAUCCUUUAUGCUUUUUUCCUUUCCGUUUUGGUAAAUUGAAUCUGCUGAGAUAUUUAUGGUUAACAUAACUUUUAGUCAUCUUGUCACAAUAAUU
rnacentral:misc_RNA from 1 species